AGCCCCAAAAAGGGUCAUGAUUCUUAAAGAAAGGUUUGAAAAUCCCAUGGAGAUGAUGUCAAGGAUUUAAAAAUCUGAAAGAUAUUACAAGACUCUAUGAGUAAGAAACAAGAACAAAAUACUGAGAGUGAUCAUUAGCACAACAUAUAAUGGAAGUUCCCACGUGAAGAAGAGGCAGGAGGGGAGAUCUGAGACCUCUUACAGAGAGUAGCUGAGAUGUGUGUGGGAAGUUGACUUGAACAAGACCCGUGGCUUCUUAAAACUCUAGCAGGUAACAGAAUUUGAGGAGUGGGAUGCUGCCAGAAUUUGAGGAGUAAUUAAGAUUAUCAGUGAUGGAUACAUUGACUGUUGGGACUGUGCUCUCCAUAUUUUGAGGAAAAGGAUCCCACUUAGGAUACCAUGUUACAUUUAGUCAUCCUGUCUUCUUAGGCCCCUCUCCACUGUGAUGCUUCCUCAGACUUUUCUGGUUUUUGAUGACCUGGACCAUUGUGAGGAGUGCUGGGGCUGAGUGUAUCCUUUGGACAUUAGAGGCCAAUGACAGAAUUGACAAGGUACCUGAGACAAAUUG